GGGUUAGGGUUAGGGUUAGGUUAGGGUUAGGGUUAGGGUUAGUUAGUAGGGUUAGGUUUGGGGAACUGAGUUAGGGUUAGGGUUAGGGUUAGUUAGGGUUAGGGUUAGGGUUAGGGCGAGCGAUAAGAUCUCUCCUCCCGUUAUGUUGGGAGGAGGUAAUGCACAGUCCAUCCCCCAGUGUUCUCGGGUUAGGGUUAGGGUUAGGGUUAGGGUUAGGUGAGGGGAACCGAACCCUCCCUCUCCCAGUAUAGGGGAAAUAAUUCCCCUUCCGGGAUCGGGGGGGAGAUGCACGGUCCAUCCCCCUACGCCAUCUCCCGUCUCCAUUUCCCCAUUCCUGGCGGCGUGCCUGCUGGCCACGCCGGUCAUAGUGGACCACUUUCCACUCUCCACCAGUCAUCUUAGUUCAAAUUUUCUUUUUUGUAUUUUCAAUUGAGUUUUAUAGAGUCGCCUUUGUUAUUUAUGUAAUAAUUUAUGUUUUGGACGUGCUAUUUAUUAACAGUUAUGAAUUUGUAAUAUAUCUCUAAUUAUAACAACAAAAAACAAAAAAAGAGAAAAUCCCCAAAAAAAACAACUUUUGUCGACCAAACGGUGUGCCUUGACAACGUUUCGGCUCUAAGGAGCCUUCCUCAGGUCCUGGCACACUGAAUUUAAUAAAUGCACUGUAAAAAUAAGUGAUGUUGACUGUUCAAACUCCCAAACCAAACUGAGCUAGUGAAAACGCCCUCCCCUUUUAUACCCGUUGUUUUUUGGUCCUAUUUUAAAAAAGAUCUUUUAAAAGAAUAUGUGCAAAGUAAAACCCACUUUAAAUUAACCCCAUAAUUGCCAAUCCUUCUGCAUAAUUGCCAUCUUGCAAUUGAACCUUUGUCCAUGUAUUGAUAUUUUAACCUUAUAACUCGUUUAAUAACAUUUUAAUAAUUGUAUAGUUUUUUUGGCUUUUUAUGCUGUUUUAUAUUUUUUAAUGUAUUUUACCAAUUGUUUUGCUUUUUUGGGUCUUUUUAACUUUUUGUGAUGUAAUUGUAAUAAACUUUGUUCCCCCUAGGGUUAAAGUUGGAAAUAGGGAUAGGAAUGAAGUGGUUAGGGUUUGAAGUGGUUAGGGUUUAAGAUUAGGGGUUGGAAAUGGGGAUAGGAUAGGACUAGAGUUAGAUAGGGAUGUGAGUGGUUAAGAUUAGGAGUUAGGUUUGGAUAAGGAGAUAUAAUAGAGUUAUGAAUUAAAAAUUAAGAAUUAAAAGGGAGUGGUUAAGAUUAGGGUUAGGGUAGGAUAAGGGGAUAGAAGGUUAGGAUUAGGGGAUAGUGUUGGUUAAAGUUGGAAAUGGGGAUAGGGAUAGGAAUGAAGUGGUUAGGGUUUGAAGUGGUUAGGGUUUGAAGUGGUUGGGGUUUAAGAUUAGGGGUUGGAAAUGGGGAUAGGAUAGGACUAGAGUUAGAUAGGGAUGUGAGUGGUUAAGAUUAGGAGUUAGGUUUGGAUAAGGAGAUAUAAUAGAGUUAAGAAUUAAAAAUUAAGAAUUAAAAGGGAGUGGUUAAGAUUAGGGUUAGGGUAGGAUAAGGGGAUAGAAUGUUAAGAUUAGGGGAUAGUGUUGGAUAAGGGGAUAGAAUAGAAAGAUAGGAAAUGGUUGGGAAUUGGGGAUAGGAAGAUGGAAGUGGUUAGGGUUAGGGUUGGAAAUGGGGAUAGGAUAGGACUAGGGUUCGGGUUAGACAGGGAAGGGGGUGUGGGUUAUGAAUGGAUAAAAUUUAGCCAGAUAAGAGAGAGGAGGGGUUUGUUUGAUUAGGGUGGCAUUUAGGGUAGGGUAUCCGGACCGUAUUCCCUAAUGGUGCGCGACAUUCAACCCCCCUGGCACUUUAGACCCCAAUCUGAAUAUCCAUCGCCGUUCCAUGGUCUUUCUCUCUCUCUCUGUCCACAGGAUAUUCCUUUGUAAUCCCGCUACCCUCAACGCUCCCAAUCCAUGGAUCAAGAAAUGCUGAACCAGUGGAUAUUCCUUUGUAAUCCCGCUACCCUCAACGCUCCCAAUCCAUGGAUCAAGAAAUGCUGAACCAGUGGUGUGUGUAAAUCUUUCUUGUGGUUCACAUUAUAUCUGUGUUGUGUGAUGCGGGUCAUCAAUGUGUUGGAAGUUUCCCCGACAUACUGCAGUCCACACUUCUUGCACAAUAUGAGAUAGACACAGUUGGUUGAUUUGGGACUAAAUCCUUGUUCAAUUUUAAUGAUUGUUUUAUCCACUGCAUUCCUGACGAAUUUGAGUUUAAUAAAAUAUUUGCUCAAUG